AUUGAACGCUGGCGGCAUGCCUUACACAUGCAAGUCGAACGGUAGCAUGUCCUUCGGGAUGAUGACGAGUGGCGAACGGGUGAGUAAUAUGUGGGAAUAUACCUAUAGGUGGGGGAUAACUACUCGAAAGAGUAGCUAAUACCGCAUAAUAUCUACGGAUUAAAGCAGGGGAUCGCAAGACCUUGUGCCAAUAGAAUAGGCUACAUCCGAUUAGCUAGUUGGUAGAGUAAAAGCCUACCAAGGCAAAGAUCGGUAGCUGGUCUGAGAGGAUGAUCAGUCACACUGGAACUGAGACACGGUCCAGACUCCUACGGGAGGCAGCAGUGGGGAAUUUUGGACAAUGGGCGAAAGCCUGAUCCAGCAAUGCCGCGUGGGUGAAGAAGGCCUUCGGGUUGUAAAGCCCUCUCGGAUAGAAAGAAAACUCUUACUCUAACAUAGUGAGAGAAUGACGGUACUGUCAGAAGAAGCACCGGCUAACUACGUGCCAGCCGCCGCAGUAACAC
rnacentral:rRNA from 1 species